GGUUAAGCGACUAAGCGUACACGGUGGAUGCCCUGGCAGUCAGAGGCGAUGAAGGGCGUGCUAAUCUGCGAUAAGCGCCGGUAAGGUGAUAUGAACCGUUAUAACCGGCGAUACCCGAAUGGGGAAACCCAGUGUGACUCGUCACACUAUCAUUAACUGAAUCCAUAGGUUAAUGAGGCGAACCGGGGGAACUGAAACAUCUAAGUACCCCGAGGAAAAGAAAUCAACCGAGAUUCCCCCAGUAGCGGCGAGCGAACGGGGAGGAGCCCAGAGCCUGAAUCAGCAUGUGUGUUAGUGGAAGCGUCUGGAAAGGCGCGCGAUACAGGGUGACAGCCCCGUACACAAAAGCGCAUGUGCUGUGAGCUCGAUGAGUAGGGCGGGACACGUGGUAUCCUGUCUGAAUAUGGGGGGACCAUCCUCCAAGGCUAAAUACUCCUGACUGACCGAUAGUGAACCAGUACCGUGAGGGAAAGGCGAAAAGAACCCCGGCGAGGGGAGUGAAAAAGAACCUGAAACCGUGUACGUACAAGCAGUGGGAGCACAGGUUUACCUGUGUGACUGCGUACCUUUUGUAUAAUGGGUCAGCGACUUAUAUUCUGUAGCAAGGUUAACCGAAUAGGGGAGCCGGAGGGAAACCGAGUCUUAAUUGGGCGUUAAGUUGCAGGGUAUAGACCCGAAACCCGGUGAUCUAGCCAUGGGCAGGUUGAAGGUUGGGUAACACUAACUGGAGGACCGAACCGACUAAUGUUGAAAAAUUAGCGGAUGACCUGUGGCUGGGGGUGAAAGGCCAAUCAAACCGGGAGAUAGCUGGUUCUCCCCGAAAGCUAUUUAGGUAGCGCCUCGUGAAUUCAUCUCCGGGGGUAGAGCACUGUUUCGGCUAGGGGGCCAUCCCGGCUUACCAACCCGAUGCAAACUGCGAAUACCGGAGAAUGUUAUCACGGGAGACACACGGCGGGUGCUAACGUCCGUCGUGAAGAGGGAAACAACCCAGACCGCCAGCUAAGGUCCCAAAGUCAUGGUUAAGUGGGAAACGAUGUGGGAAGGCCCAGACAGCCAGGAUGUUGGCUUAGAAGCAGCCAUCAUUUAAAGAAAGCGUAAUAGCUCACUGGUCGAGUCGGCCUGCGCGGAAGAUGUAACGGGGCUAAACCAUGCACCGAAGCUGCGGCAGCGACACUGUGUGUUGUUGGGUAGGGGAGCGUUCUGUAAGCCUGUGAAGGUGGCCUGUGAGGGUUGCUGGAGGUAUCAGAAGUGCGAAUGCUGACAUAAGUAACGAUAAAGCGGGUGAAAAGCCCGCUCGCCGGAAGACCAAGGGUUCCUGUCCAACGUUAAUCGGGGCAGGGUGAGUCGACCCCUAAGGCGAGGCCGA
rnacentral:rRNA from 1 species